rnacentral:lncRNA from 1 species
GUACAGUUUGUGCAUCCUUAUUUCAGGCUUUCUGACAACUCAGACAGACAUCAUUUUCUGAAGUCUUUUCAGGACAUAUUCUUCCUUUGUGUGUUUCGGAUAACUAUUAUUAUUUUCAAAACAGCUGGGGCGGAAAAAAAGCACAGGAAACUGCUGCUGGCAGGGUCUGGUCCUCUGACGUCUCUCAAAACCUGCUCACUGCAGGAGACAAGGACCUGUCCAAACACAGCAGGUUGAUAAUAAAGGUCAAACUCCACCUCUGCUAGCCAAAUUUCUCCUCUUUUCCACCUCCCCAGCUCAGAUACGUGCAUACCGCUCUCAUUUCUUACAUGGCACCAGGUAGGCUUCCAGGCUGCAGAGAGCUAAUAAAAGCUGUUGCCGGGUGUGAUUUGUAUUCCGUAAACUGAUAGGGCACACUUGCUCCAAAUCAGUGAGGUUCUGAGAACUCAAAGUUCAUACCAUUAAUUAAGUUAGGAGGCUACAAUAAUGGCACGACUGCUGCAGCGGAGGGCUGGGGAUCAAUGUCCAGCAGCAGCCUGACUCUGCUGAGCAGUUCUGCUGUGGCAGAUGCGAGCGCGCCUCCUGCAGCACCGACCCUGGGGCCCCACGCCCGCCUCGGCACUCACCGGCACACGCUGCAAGAUUCUGAGGACGAGGAGAAGCGGCGUUGUGUUGGAUUGCUGAAUUAACUCACUUACUAUGCAUACCUUGCUGUGCUAGAACGACUUGUGCGCUAUGCUGGCACUGCUCCACUGCCAGAUGCGUCUCCCGAGAUUUACACAAGACUUUUCUUGAAAUAUUUGGCUUAGAGAGAAACCCCUUGUCUGAGCAGAGCUGUGAAAAGCUAUUGGGUAGGCUGAGCCAUUCCCACCUUCAUCUCUGCGCAGUGUUUGC